rnacentral:rRNA from 1 species
CUACGGGUUGCUCCAGUAAGGAAUAUUGCGCAAUGGAGGCAACUCUGACGCAGCCAUGCCGCGUGCAGGAAGAAGGCCUUAUGGGUCGUAAACUGCUUUUAUUUAGGGAUAAACCCCCGAACGUGUUCGGGGCUGAAGGUACUAAACGAAUAAGCACCGGCUAACUCCGUGCCAGCAGCCGCGGUAAUACGGAGGGUGCAAGCGUUAUCCGGAUUUAUUGGGUUUAAAGGGUGCGCAGGCGGGCUAUUAAGUCAGUGGUGAAAUCCCGGGGCUCAACUCCGGAACUGCCAUUGAUACUGAUAGUCUUGAGUUUGGUUGAAGUGGGCGGAAUGUAGCAUGUAGCGGUGAAAUGCAUAGAUAUGCUACAGAACACCAAUCGCGAAGGCAGCUCACUAAGCCAAAACUGACGCUCAUGCACGAAAGCGUGGGGAUCAAACAGGAUUAGAUACCCGUGUAGUC